rnacentral:sRNA from 1 species
UGUAUUCCGAACCCCGAUUCAGGACGACC